GACGAACGCUGGCGGCGUGCUUAACACAUGCAGGUCGAACGGAAAGGCCCUGCUUUUGUGGGGUGCUCGAGUGGCGAACGGGUGAGUAACACGUGAGUAACCUGCCCUUGACUUUGGGAUAACUUCAGGAAACUGGGGCUAAUACCGGAUAGGAGCUCCUGCUGCAUGGUGGGGGUUGGAAAGUUUCGGCGGUUGGGGAUGGACUCGCGGCUUAUCAGCUUGUUGGUGGGGUAGUGGCUUACCAAGGCUUUGACGGGUAGCCGGCCUGGGGGGGUGCCGGGCGCCAUUGGGACUGGGAUGCGGCCCACACUCCUCCGGGAGGAAGCAGGGGGGAAUUUGGCACAAGGGGCGGAAGCGGGAGGCAACAGCGCCGGGGGCGGGAGGCCGGCCUUCGGGUGGGAACCCGCUUUCGCGCGUAACGGAGGGUGGGUGCCGGUAAUGGGUAAAGGAGCACCGGCAACCUGCGG
rnacentral:rRNA from 1 species